GCGUCCGUAGCUCAGCUGGAUAGAGUACCUGGCUACGAACCAGGCGGUCAGA
rnacentral:tRNA from 1 species